rnacentral:rRNA from 1 species
AACGAACGCUGGCGGCAGGCCUAACACAUGCAAGUCGAGCGGGCGUAGCAAUACGUCAGCGGCGGACGGGUGAGUAACACGUGGGAAUAUGCCUUUCGGUUUGGAACAACUCGGGGAAACCCGUGCUAAUUCCGGAUACGCCCUUAGGGGGAAAGAUUUAUCGCCGAAAGAUUAGCCCGCGUCCGAUUAGCUAGUUGGUGAGGUAACGGCCCACCAAGGCGACGAUCGGUAGCUGGUUUGAGAGAACGA